UCCUACGGGGGGCAGCAGUGGGGAAUAUUGCACAAUGGGGGAAACCCUGAUGCAGCGACGCCGCGUGAGUGAAGAAGUAUCUCGGUAUGUAAAGCUCUAUCAGCAGGGAAGAAAAUGACGGUACCUGACUAAGAAGCACCGGCUAACUUCGUGCCAGCAGCCGCGGUAAUACGAAGGGUGCAAGCGUUGUUCGGAUUUACUGGGCGUAAAGCGUCCGUAGGUGGUUUGUUAAGUCAGGGGUGAAAUCCCGGGGCCCAACCCCGGAACUGUCUUUGAUACUGGCAAGCUGGAGCGUGAUAGAGGAA
rnacentral:rRNA from 1 species